AAAAUGCGAUAAGUAAUGUGAAUUGCAGAAUUCAGUGAAUCAUCGAAUCUUUGAACGCACAUUGCGCCCGCCAGUAUUCUGGCGGGCAUGCCUGUUCGAGCGUCAUUUCAACCCUCAAGCCCCCCUGGUUUGGUGUUGGGGAUCGGGCUGCGGUUCUGCCGCGUCCCGGCCCCGAAAUCUAGUGGCGGUCUCGCUGCAGCCUCCAUUGCGUAGUAGCUAACACCUCGCAACUGGAACGCGGCGCGGCCAAGCCGUUAAACCCCCCAACUUCUGAAUGUUGACCUCGGAUCAGGUAGGAAUACCCGCUGAACUUAAGC
rnacentral:misc_RNA from 1 species